rnacentral:rRNA from 1 species
UUGAAACACCAGUUCUCAUAAGAUCACAGAAGUUAAGCAAUGUCGAGCCUGGUCAGUACCUAGAUGGGUGACUGCUUGGGAAUACCAGAUGCUGUUA